rnacentral:rRNA from 1 species
CACGUAGGGUGCGAGCGUUGUCCGGAAUUAUUUGGCGUAAAGAGCUCGUAGGCGGUGUGUCGCGUCGGCCGUGAAAACCUGCAGCUUAACUGUGGGCUUGCGGUCGAUACGGGCAUCACUGGAGUUCGGCAGGGGAGACUGGAAUUCCUGGUGUAGCGGUGAAAUGCGCAGAUAUCAGGAGGAACACCGGUGGCGAAGGCGGGUCUCUGGGCCGAUACUGACGCUGAGGAGCGAAAGCGUGGGGAGCGAACAGG